rnacentral:rRNA from 1 species
AUGAACGCUGGCGGCGUGCCUAAUACAUGCCAGUCGAGCGAACAGACGAGGAGCUUGCUCCUCUGACGUUAGCGGCGGACGGGUGAGUAACACGUGGAUAACCUACCUAUAAGACUGGGAUAACUUCGGGAAACCGGAGCUAAUACCGGAUAAUAUAUUGAACCGCAUGGUUCUAUAGUGAAAGACGGUUUUGCUGUCACUUAUAGAUGGAUCCGCGCCGCAUUAGCUAGUUGGUAAGGUAACGGCUUACCAAGGCAACGAUGCGUAGCCGACCUGAGAGGGUGAUCGGCCACACUGGAACUGAGACACGGUCCAGACUCCUACGGGAGGCAGCAGUAGGGAAUCUUCCGCAAUGGGCGAAAGCCUGACGGAGCAACGCCGCGUGAGUGAUGAAGGUCUUCGGAUCGUAAAACUCUGUUAUUAGGGAAGAACAAAUGUGUAAGUAACUAUGCACGUCUUGACGGUACCUAAUCAGAAAGCCACGGCUAACUACGUG